GUCCCUGUAGAGCAUGGUAGCUCGCUCUUUCCCACCUGCUAGGAAGAGGUGCAGAGGAUUCAGGGAGAAACGGUGGUUCGAUUCCACCCAGGGACA